GCAUUAAUGGGGUAGUGGUAACCUGGGUUGUUGCCAUAAUGUUCCAGGUGUCUUUGUGUUCUCGACCCACCGGGGGUUCAAUUCCCCCUUAAUGCA